GACGAACGCUGGCGGCGUGCUUAACACAUGCAAGUCGAACGAUGAAGAAGAGCUUGCUCUUCGGAUUAGUGGCGAACGGGUGAGUAACACGUGACUAACCUGCCCCUUUCUCUGGGAUAACGCUCCGAAAGGAGUGCUAAUACCGGAUACUCACAUCGAGGCACAUGCCUUGAUGUGGAAAGUUUUUCGGAAAGGGAUGGAGUCGCGGCCUAUCAGCUUGUUGGUGAGGUAACGGCUCACCAAGGCGACGAUGGGUAGCCGGCCUGAGAGGGCGACCGGCCACACUGGGACUGAGACACGGCCCAGACUCCUACGGGAAGCAGCAGUGGGGAAUAUUGCACAAUGGGCGAAAGCCUGAUGCAGCGACGCCGCGUGAGGGAUGAAGGUCUUCGGAUUGUAAACCUCUUUCAGUAGGGACGAAGCGAAAGUGACGGUACCUAAAGAAGAAGCACCGGCUAACUACGUGCCAGCCGCCGCAGUAA
rnacentral:rRNA from 1 species